AUGGAUAUGGAAAAGAGAAAAUUGGCAUAGAAGUAUGCCAAUUAACAGGUAAAAUAAAUAAACAUUAUCCUGAUAGAUCUUCAAAUUUGAAUGAAUAUUCUACUGCCAAAAACUUCUCAACAAAUGAAUGCUAUAAGUUAAUCAAAAUAUUUAUACCACCAUCAGUUGUGUGUGAGACUAAAACUUUAACUUUUUCUCAAGAGUUUGAUUCUAGCAAAGUACAAGAUUGUAGAGAGUUAUAUAAAAAAAAACUACUAAUAACAUUCAAGUUUUUAAUUUUCAUAAUUUUGUUAUAAAAGUUAAUAAGUGCAGCUUGGCUAUAUUUAAGAUUUAUGAGACUUCUAACAGGAUAGCAAAAGCAAAACUCAUUGAACACGUUUUGAUGUCAUCUGAAGACCUGACCAAAUAUCUUAAUUCCAAGUAUCUCAGGGACCCAAAACAUAAGCGGACGAAACUGUCGAGCGUUGAUACAUUCAUUCUUGAAGAAAUUUGUAAUAAUGUAAUUUACCUCGAUAGGAAAAAUCUUUAUGAAGCGUUAAUUAUGAAAGUUAUGAAAAAUGGAACAAUUCACGGAAAUGAACCAAAUCCUACAUACAUUAUAGCAGGACAGAUUAUUUGUUUAAUUGACAGGAAUGACAACUAUUGUAAACCUGUGUUCAGAAUGAAUCACUUUAUUGAGGACGGCAACGUUAUUAAAGUGACUGACAUUAAAAUUCCUGAAGAAAAAAUGUCAUAUAGUACAUUUUCUGAAAGGAUUCCAAAGUCUCUAAAAUUCCAACAGUCUCUCAUUUACUUCAUCAAUGGAGAUCAAGCAAACCUUUUUAAUUAUACCCAUAACCAAUUUCAUGCAACUGCUUUAGUGGCGAUGUUAAUAUCAGAGGUAAUCAGAAAUCCAAUUAUGAUGUUUAUUAACAUAAUUGCAAUUAAAAGUAAUUUCUUACAUACAUUUGAUGAGUACCACCGAAUCCUGCCAUCUCUAGCUGGGGGAACCUGGAAAGGUCACAGACCCUAUGGUGCUAAAUUUUUACUGAAAUUAGAUACAUUUCUCAGUGAUGUAUCGUUCAGUGAUUUAUCGUUCAUUCCUUCUGCUGUCGGAGAUCACACACACUGACUCAAAGUGGUUGAGAUGGAAAUGGGAGCAGAACCAUUUUUUAUAAUUUUUUUGUUUCAUAAUAGAUUUUAUUUUUAAUUCAACAUUUUUAUCGAUUCUUAAUAGGUCGAUUCUGGACGGUUGCGCUAACGUAGGCUAAUGCGAUUAGCAUGAGGUUGUAAGUAACAAGAACAUUUCCCAGGACAUAGACAUGUCAGAUAUUGGCAGAAAGCUUAAAUUCUUGUUAAUCUAACUGCACUAUCCAAUUUACAGUAGCUAUUACAACGAAAGAAUACCAUGCUAUUGUUUGAGCGCACAAUUUUCAACAUGAAAAGUUAUUAAUAAACAAACUAGGCACAUUUGGGCAGUCUUGAUACAACAUUUUUAACAGAAAUCCAAUGGUUCAUUGUAUCAGUCUAAAACUUUGCACAUACACUGUUGCACCUGAGCUGAAAUAAUACAUUAUGCCAUUUCUCUUGCAUUUUCAAAGAUGAAUGUACAAAAAUAAUACAAAAGAACGGUUGUUUUUUUCUUUGUACAAUAGGCCCAGCGCUGUCCUGGUUUGUCUGGUGUAGGCUGUCAUUGUAAAUAAGAAUUUGUUCUUUACUGAAUGGUCUAGGUAAAAUCAAGCAAUUUAAAAUAAAUCUAAACCUAAGAAAUUUACAGAGCAAGGCAGUUAACCCGCAACAACUGCUCCCUGGGUGGCAAAAAUUCAUCUUCAUUAUUCUCCAUGUUGCUCCACCUCCACUUCCUGGAGGAGCCAGGUGGGGCCACAGAGCAGGCUCCUCCAUCUACUCCUGCCAACUCUGUCAGUCCACCAGACCCCACAAUCCAGCCUCCACACCAUUGCAGUAACAGCCAUAUCUUCACGUCACAAAGCUUCAGUACUAUCUGAAUGUGUUGAAGUACCACCCAGCAUCCUGUGGCAACCUCAAUGUGAAGCAAAUCAAAUAAACUAAAAUAUACAUCCGCUCUGACCCGUGAAUCCGCACUGACCCGUGAUCACCACCGACUCGGGCUCUACAGAGGUAGCCUUGGACGCCCAGGCUUUGCACACGUUCAAGGACACGAGAUUUAGAAGAAUCCCAGUGAGCAAAAUUAAUGUCCUCCCGAGACCACCACAAGGAUGACUCUCAGCACACCAGUCCGCAGGGACCGAUAAGAUGUGAUUGGAUGUUCAGCAGGAUGUGGACCUCGCCACGUCAUCUGGCCACAGAGAUAAAGGCUAAUGGAUCUGACAGAGAUAGUUUUUUGUUUGAUUUGUUUUGAUUUGUUUUGAUUUGAUGUAAUAUUCUAUAUUAAAAAAGAGACAAACAUACAGAAUAA